rnacentral:lncRNA from 1 species
AGGUGCGGGUGAAGAUGGCGGCAGCCGAGGCCGCGAACUGCAUCAUGGAGAAUUUUGUAGCCACCUUGGCUAAUGGGAUGAGCCUCCAGCCGCCUCUUGAAGAAGUAACCCCCCUUUGCCCUUCCCUGUGUCUGCCCCCAUUUUCCUUCCCCUCCCCUCCCCAGCUGUGGGCUGAGCUAGAGACGGGGUCAGAGAGACUGGAGAGAUGGUAGGC